ACAAAAAUUACUUCUAUUUUCUUUCUGUUAUUUGGAUGUUCGAUUUUUCUUCCUGCAGCUUUCAACACCACAUCCCUUCAGGAUUUCAGGAGUGGAGGCGGGGGAAAUAGGGAGGCUUACGUAUGGACACCCUUUUAGAUUCCCCUCCCAUGCUGUACCUUUUU
rnacentral:ribozyme from 1 species